CCCCCGGUCGUAUAACGGUUAUUACAGGUGGCUGUAGACCACUUGAAGCAAGUUCGACUCUUGCCCGGGGGA
rnacentral:tRNA from 1 species